rnacentral:rRNA from 2 species
UUGCAGAAUUCCGCGAAUCAUCGAGUUUUUGAACGCAAGUUGCGCCCGAGGCUUGACCAAGGGCAUCUCUGCCAGAGCGUC